rnacentral:rRNA from 1 species
GAUGAACGCUGGCGGCGUGCCUAAUACAUGCAAGUCGAGCGAACAGACGAGGAGCUUGCUCCUCUGACGUUAGCGGCGGACGGGUGAGUAACACGUGGAUAACCUACCUAUAAGACUGGGAUAACUUCGGGAAACCGGAGCUAAUACCGGAUAAUAUAUUGAACCGCAUGGUUCAAUAGUGAAAGACGGUUUUGCUGUCACUUAUAGAUGGAUCCGCGCCGCAUUAGCUAGUUGGUAAGGUAACGGCUUACCAAGGCAACGAUGCGUAGCCGACCUGAGAGGGUGAUCGGCCACACUGGAACUGAGACACGGUCCAGACUCCUACGGGAGGCAGCAGUAGGGAAUCUUCCGCAAUGGGCGAAAGCCUGACGGAGCAACGCCGCAUGAGUGAUGAAGGUCUUCGGAUCGUAAAACUCUGUUAUUAGGGAAGAAAAAAUGUGUAAGUAACUAUGCACGUCUUGACGGUACCUAAUCAGAAAGCCACGGCUAACUACGUG